AUUGAACGCUGGCGGCAGGCCUAACACAUGCAAGUCGAGCGGAUGAAGGGAGCUUGCUCCUGGAUUCAGCGGCGGACGGGUGAGUAAUGCCUAGGAAUCUGCCUGGUAGUGGGGGAUAACGUCCGGAAACGGGCGCUAAUACCGCAUACGUCCUGAGGGAGAAAGUGGGGGAUCUUCGGACCUCACGCUAUCAGAUGAGCCUAGGUCGGAUUAGCUAGUUGGUGGGGUAAGGGCCUACCAAGGCGACGAUCCAUAACUGGUCUGAGAGGAUGAUCAGUCACACUGGAACUGAGACACGGUCCAGACUCCUACGGGAGGCAGCAGUGGGGAAUAUUGGACAAUGGGCGAAAGCCUGAUCCAGCCAUGCCGCGUGUGUGAAGAAGGUCUUCGGAUUGUAAAGCACUUUAAGUUGGGAGGAAGGGCAGUAAGUUAAUACCUUGCUGUUUUGACGUUACCAACAGAAUAAGCACCGGCUAACUUCGUG
rnacentral:rRNA from 1 species